rnacentral:rRNA from 1 species
CGAAACCCGGUGAUCUAGCCAUGGGCAGGUUGAAGGUUGGGUAACACUAACUGGAGGACCGAACCGACUAAUGUUGAAAAAUUAGCGGAUGACCUGUGGCUGGGGGUGAAAGGCCAAUCAAACCGGGAGAUAGCUGGUUCUCCCCGAAAGCUAUUUAGGUAGCGCCUCGUGAAUUCAUCUCCGGGGGUAGAGCACUGUUUCGGCUAGGGGGCCAUCCCGGCUUACCAACCCGAUGCAAACUGCGAAUACCGGAGAAUGUUAUCACGGGAGACACACGGCGGGUGCUAACGUCCGUCGUGAAGAGGGAAACAACCCAGACCGCCAGCUAAGGUCCCAAAGUCAUGGUUAAGUGGGAAACGAUGUGGGAAGGCCCAGACAGCCAGGAUGUUGGCUUAGAAGCAGCCAUCAUUUAAAGAAAGCGUAAUAGCUCACUGGUCGAGUCGGCCUGCGCGGAAGAUGUAACGGGGCUAAACCAU